rnacentral:rRNA from 1 species
AUACGUAGGUGACAAGCGUUAUCCGGAUUUACUGGGCGUAAAGGGCGUGUAGGCGGUCUUGCAAGUCAGAAGUGAAAUUCCUGAGCUCAACUCGGGCGCUGCUUCUGAAACUGCAGGACUUGAGUGCUGGAGGGGAUAGCGGAAUUCCUAGUGGAGCGGUAAAAUGCGCAGAUAUUAGGAAGAACACCGGUGGCAAAGGCGGAUAUCUGGACAGUACCUGAGGCUGAGGUGCGAAAGCGGGGGGAUCAAACAGGAUUAGAUACCCUGGUUGGCCACGCCGUAAACGAUGAAUACGAGGUUUAGGGGGUAUCGACUCCCUCUGUGCCGCAGUUAACACAAUAAGUAUUCCGCCUGGGGAGUACGGCCGCAAGGUUGAAACUCAAAUGAAUUGGCUGGG